CGGUGUAGCUCAACUGGUAGAGCAACUGACUUGUAAUCAGUAGGUUGGGGGUUCAAGUCCUCUUGCCGG
rnacentral:tRNA from 1 species